GUUGUGGGAAAUGAAAACUUAUGUAUCGGAGCUGCUUGAAUUGAAUCUCAGGUAGGAUCGUGAUCGGAGAGAGAGAGAGAGAGUCUGAAAAUUCCAGUGCGAAUCGGGAAUGUCAAGGGUUUCGAGAAAAUGGAUGGCGGAGGUAUAACAAUAAGAUACAAGGGAGUCACUGUACACACUCCCAAGACGUGGCACGAUCUUUAUGUGGUUUUGGAUUGAAAAUUCUGGACAAUGGAUACGUCUUAAUUAGUAUCAUCGAGGCAAUCAAGCAGCUGUUAAUGUGAAAAUUAGGUUAUGUCUCCGGUCAGAACCAAUGUUGAGUUCAUUUAAAUAUUUUUUUUUGCCUGUAGUCUGAUCGAAUCAUUAAAGUUCUUAUGCGGAGUUCGGUUAUCAAUAAAGAUUGAAAAAAACUUAUCAAAUGCUCGUGAUUGUGGUGAACAAAAAUAAAAAUAAAAUGCUCGUGACGCGGAGUUCGGUUAUCAACCAAAUAUAUAGAAUUACUAUAGAUUUCAGUUAAAUAAACAAAUAAGUUGGAACGAUUUCUUACUAUUCAAUCGUUCCAACUUCGUCUUAAACCGAGAGUGCAUGUAAUGCGGAUCUCUCUCUUCUACAAUCGUAUCUCAUUUUGUCAUUGAGUUUUCUUUGUAUAGCUUUAAUUCAUUGUCCAAAAAACUGCUUUGAUGUUUUUUUUUUUUUUAGAUGGUUCAUGAAUACAGCUGAAUCUUCAAUUUUUGAUUAUAGAUCUGAAGUUAUCCAUCUUUCUUUUCUUUUCCUAUUGUAAGCUUCGUUUGCAUCACUGCUUCAGUUUGCAUAAUACACAAAGUGAGUAGUGUUUAAUGCUUCUAUUUACACGAAUCAGUUAACUUCUCAGUCGGGUCUUUCCCCGAGAGAUUCCACGUGUUGUCUUUGUUUUCCUGAUCAGAAACGCAAGCCUAAGCUCUACCUGAUGCACGCCGCUUCCAAGGAGCUGAAAAUUCGUGCUACUUCCAGCGUUUCUGAACUUCAAAGGUCUACUCCAAGUAGCGAUGUUAACAUGACGGCAGAGUUUGAGUUGGAGUUGCAAGAGUUGUUCAAUGAUGUCAAAUCCAUGGUUAAGAUUGGGGUGAGAGUGACGCAAUGGACCUUCUCCGACCUAAUUACGUUGCUGUCAAAGAAGAGAUCGAUUCGGGCUUGAAAGGUGUCGAACAAGGUGCUCUUCUGGACAUAAUUGCCUUAGGUUAUAUGGCUGAGACUUAAACCUCUUCCUGCAUUGCUUGAUAUGAUAAAUAAGAUUGUUGAUAAGUUAAGGGACAACAAAGACGAGAUUGACAUGUCAAUUCUUGUUGCUACUCGCUGGAUAGUACCCGCUGAUGCUGCAGCUAGUGAUGCUUGGUUUGUGGUUAAGGAAGAUCUCCGCAGAGUCAUAAUCCUCCUCCGUCUGAAUCUGAUACUCGUUGAAGGUUUCCAUGCGAGGGUCGUAGUAGAGUAACAUCUGAAAACCAGUCUCGAGCUUCUUCUUUGCGAAGACCAAUUCACCAGACGGUAUGGUUCCUUCAAAGGAAUACGAGCCAGUGACCUUCUCGCUCCAACCCUUAACCUCUACCUCUCUCUCCCCCCAGAGUCCAGAAUCCUUGUCCUUUACACAGAUCUUAAACUUUCCCGUAGUAGCUAACUCAUGCGCAGAAUCGGAAACUAAACAUGGUUGGCCAUUGUAACUUCUCAGUUUGGUGAUACCAAGCUUAAGUAGGAAAGCCGUAGGCAGCUCCGUAAUCAAGAUCGACUCUGUAGUCAAAUUCACAGUAACUGCAAGACAUGUCUUGUUAUGCACCGCACCCAGGUACACGUUACCUUCAAUGGAGAGCGAGUUGGUGAUUGGCGUGUAGGGACGAGGACAGUCGAUCUGACGCCAUAUGACCUCUCCGGGUUGAACGGUGAAUAUCUCAUGGCGCCAAGGUAAAUUGUGGUCACCGGCCUCUGUCUUUAUGACUUUAAAAGCCUUGGACUGUUCGUCAAAUCCAAAUAAAAAGCCUCGGUGGUUGAAUCUCUUUCGGGUCUGCGGCGGCUCCGGCUCGAACUCGAGCACCGUCAGACAUUUUCUGAUCGCCGGAUUGCAGAGGACGAGGCAGAGGAGGCCUCUUAUAGGUCCGGACGUGACGGCGAAAUCUGAGUUUGGAAGCGUUGUCACAUGGUGAGGAUCAGCGAUCGGCUGCGGGCGCUCUUGGUUGACGGUAUUGAACGACUCGUAUUGAGGUUCGCCGUCGUUCCAGACUCUUCGUUGACAGAGCCUCAGAAGAACAAGCAUGGGUUGUUUCUUGGACUCUUGGUAAUGCGCAUGCUGGAGGCUUCUGUCCCCAAUCGACCUCUCCCAUUCCUUAGAAACCACAAUACACCUUGCCAGAGACUUGGGAGGCAAUUUUGAACGAAUGACAUCCUUCAACUCUUCGGGCAUCAUUGCAAAGUCCGAGUUCUCCAUUGUGUUUCUUUUCUAUCUCAGAUGUUUUUUUUUUGUUUGUUUGAUAAGAUUAUCAGCAUGUCAGCCUUCUAAUUUAUAGAUUGCAUUUAACAGAAGC